UACGUAGGGUGCAAGCGUUGUCCGGAAUUAUUGGGCGUAAAGAGUUCGUAGGCGGUUUGUCGCGUCUGCUGUGAAAACUCGGGGCUUAACUCCGGGCCUGCAGUGGGUACGGGCAGACUAGAGUGCGGUAGGGGAGACUGGAAUUCCUGGUGUAGCGGUGAAAUGCGCAGAUAUCAGGAGGAACACCGAUGGCGAAGGCAGGUCUCUGGGCCACUACUGACGCUGAGAAGCGAAAGCGUGGGGAGCGAACAGG
rnacentral:rRNA from 1 species